GUGCCAGCAGCCGCGGUAAUACCGGCAGCACGAGUGAUGGCCGAUUUUAUUGGGCCUAAAGCGUCCGUAGCCGGCCAGACAGGUCCAUCAGGAAAUCUGCACGCCCAACGUGCAGGCGUCCGGUGGAAACCAGCUGGCUUGGGGCCGGAAGAUCCAGGGGGUACGUCCGGGGUAGGAGUGAAAUCCCGUAAUCCCGGACGGACCGCCGGUGGCGAAAGCGCCCUGGAAGGACGGACCCGACGGUGAGGGACGAAAGCUAGGGUCACGAACCGGAUUAGAUACCCUAGUAGUCC
rnacentral:rRNA from 1 species